GCCGGGUGUGGUGGUGCACGCCUGUAAUCCCAGCUACUUGGGAGGCUGAGGCAGGAGAAUCGCUUGAACCCGGGAGGCGGAGGUUGCAGUGAGCCGAGAUUGUGCCACUGCACUCUAGCCUGGGUGACAGAGUGAGACUCCAUCUCAA
rnacentral:SRP_RNA from 1 species